UUUGAGCAUUUGGCAGAUGAGAUAUUUGUUUAUCAAUCAACUUAUAUUGGAAAUUUUUUUAAAAGACUUUAUAUGGAUAAAGCACAUCCAUUGAACAUUCCAAUGCAAGUUCGUUUACUAGAUGUAAAGCAAUAUAUAUUUCAACCCCGAGUUGAUAAUGAAGAACUUCUUGACCUAUAAGUACCAUAUCUUAGUGCAAUUGUUACACUUAUGUAUCUUGUUAAUAAUACAAGACCAGAUAUUGUAUUUUUAGUAAAUUGAUAACUACAUCUUCCUUUGUGGACUUAGAAGCACUGUGGUUUCUUUAAGAAGUUUGAAUAUAGUCUUUGUUAUUGUGUAGAAUUGUAAGCUGCUAGUUUUCUUGUUAAGGCUCAUUCAAUUUCCCAUUUUAAUCAUUUCACUUAAAAUUGUUGACCCACUUGCAUCUUGGAGUUAUUUUAUUUCAAAUUCUUGAUAAGCAAAUCAAAAUUUGGGACGUAUCUACUGGACAAUGUAAUAUAACUGUGCAACAUCAUACAGACAAGGUAAGAAUCUCAAUUGUAUUGCUUUGAUCGUGCGUGUUCGAGUUCAUUCAUUCAAACUUGCACCAACAAUGAUCUGUUCAUGAGCAUGAAUGAUGAAAUCUAUUAUCAUUAAUCCUUCUAGGAAAGAGUAUGGUUUGAUGGUGAAUUACUACACAAGGAGAGGUGAUAUGAACGGUGCACGUGAAAUCUUUGAAAAUAUGCGAGCUAGGGAAAUAGAACCAUGGUCUCAUGUCUACACAAAGUAAUAACUACUCCUAUUUUCUCCCUUUCUUUCGUCAUAUGUUAAUUUGAUCUCAAUGUUAGCUUAAUAUUUUUGCUUCAUUUAUUGACAUAAAGGUCACCAUUCUAGUUUUGAAUAUGGUUAAAGUUUGAUUGAUUUGUAUAGAAGGCCAAUUAAGUAUUUUAUGCUUGAAAUAUAUAUUUUGAUGGUAGAUAUGUCGUUGCAAAAGUAUAUUUACUAUAUUAAUUCAAUCUAAAUAUUUUUCAA